GACGAACGCUGGCGGCGUGCUUAACACAUGCAAGUCGAACGGAAAGGCCCUGCUUUUGUGGGGUGCUCGAGUGGCGAACGGGUGAGUAACACGUGAGUAACCUGCCCUUGACUUUGGGAUAACUUCAGGAAACUGGGGCUAAUACCGGAUAGGAGCUCCUGCUGCAUGGUGGGGGUUGGAAAGUUUCGGCGGUUGGGGAUGGACUCGCGGCUUAUCAGCUUGUUGGGGGGGUAGUGGCUUACCAAGGCUUUGACGGGUAGCCGGCCUGGGAGGGUGACCGGGCACAUUGGGACUACGAUACGGACCAGACUCCUACGGGAGGCAGCAGUGGGGAAUAUUGCACAAUGGGGGGAAGCCUGAGGCAGCAACGCCGCGUGCGGGAUGACGGCCUUCGGGUUGUAAACCGCUUUGGCCUGUGACGAAGCGUGAGUGACGGUAAUGGGUAAAGAAGCACCGGCUAACUACGUG
rnacentral:rRNA from 1 species